rnacentral:rRNA from 1 species
UCACCAGAAUUUGUCAUCCUGCACCAGACUUGUCCUUCCUGCACCAGAGUUGUCCUCGUGCACCAGACUUGUCCUCCUGCACCUGCCAGAAUUCAUAUGCUUGUCCCGAAGACUCAAGCCAUGCAUGCCUAGAAGAAAAAUUGGCGCCCUACAGGCCGCUGCGUGCCCACCCAGGUGCGAUAAGUGCCGACCGGGAUGUCAAGGAAUCAGCGAACGGCUCCGCAUAUCUGUUGUCACCUAUCGUGGUAAAUCCGGCGUGGAUAGAGCACGGAAAAGCUGUGUAUAACACAGACAAAUGGGGUCACCGCUGCCCGUUGGCAUGGGCAGUGGGGUUAAGCGGGCCCAUAACUAUGGGCCCCACCUCGUUACCGGCUCUCAAAGUACCCCUUGUAGGCUUCUUAGUGCCUCAGGGGCGAAACGGAGGCCUCUGCUACCAGACCUGCUUACCGAGCGCCCCCUUGGGAGGGUUGGUCUUGUCUGGGUACCCGGCAGAGCCCAUCCACAAGCGCACGAUGGACUUCAGACCUAUCAGCUAGACGGUAGGGUAUUGGCCUACCGUGGCGAUGACGGGUACAGAGGAUUAGGGUUUGAUCCUGGAGAGGUAGCCUGAGAAAUCGCUCCCACUUCUAAGGAAGGCAGCAGGCGCGUAACGUUCCCAAUGCUAGGACCCCUAGUGAGGACGUAAUGGGACAUAACAAUACCCCUAUUGGAUAGUGGGUAAUUGACAAUGGGGCGGGCAUAAACA